rnacentral:ncRNA from 2 species
UUGUACUCCCUCCGUCCCAUUUUAAGUGCAAUCAUGAGUUUCGCCCAACUUUAAUCAUCUGUUUUAUUUGAACUUUUUAUAAAUAGUAUUUUUAUUGUUAUGAGAUUAUAAAAUUUAAAUAAGACGGAUGAUUAAAGUUGGACACGAAAACUCAUGGCUACACUUACAAUGAAAUGGAGGGGUACUA